GGGUCAGUAGGUUGGUCGUGCCACCGGUACGUACUGGUCUCACUGAUUCCUCCUUCCUGAAGAACCGUAAUGCCAUUAAUUUGGUGUUGCGGGGAAACAGGACUAUUACUUUGAAAAAAUUAGAGUGUUUAAAGCAAGCUAACGCUUGAAUACAUUAGCAUGGAAUAAUGGAAUAGGACGAUCGAUCCUAUUUUGUUGGUUUCUAGGAUUGACGUA
rnacentral:rRNA from 1 species